UGCACUCCUGUGGAGUUAACUUGUGCUGCUAAGACAGACGAACCAGCUUGUCACUAAAUCUGACUAGCCUCCGGUCUCAAGCUAGGCAUAAGCCUCCACAGAUGCUAUACCUGUAUACCUGAGCACUUUGGCCACUUUGCUUCUGGGUGCCGCCCCCUGCCUCUCCGAUGGUUGGGGACUGUGUGAAUCCCAUCUGCAGCGGUUUCUCAUUUUUUCCUGCCUAGGUUAUCCUUUUGGCUGUCAACUUGUGUACAUCUGGCCUGAUUUUUCAGGAAGGUGAUGGUAUCAGGGUAUUAUACACCCUGUUGUUUGUUUACAUCCACUACGGACCAGCAGAAUCCAAACUCUGAUCUCAACCACCCCUGAAGAAGCCUAACCAGGCGAAAUAUAUAGGGUUUACCAACCGGGUUGUGAUCUCUGCUACAGUAUUUAUGUCUGUUAUGGAAACCUUUUAACCUUGUUAUACCUGUUAGGUUGUUUUGGUUUAUGAAUUGGACUCCGUUAGAGUCCAUGAUAUGUCCUACAACCUGACGCUAUUUUUUUAAAUAAACUAUUAAAAUUUAUAGUACUUGUUCUAUUUUUCUUUAUGGGUUUCUGCUUGCACCGCUAUAGUCCCGCCAUUGUUCGACUUUCCCAUAUACUCUAUAUACAUGACAUGUUUUGUUGAACAUAUAUAAUCAAAGUUCUUUUAGAGCUUAUAUUGUAUGCAUAUGUUAAAAUUGUUUUAUUCUUUUUCAUCUCUUUAGAGUAAUCUAGAGAGACGAUCUUGUCCUAAUUCCCCUGAAGAAGCCAAGAGGCGAAACUAGUAGGGUCGACCUGAUCGAAAAAAUUAUUUCUAGAUCUUGCUC